AUCUUCCUAGUAUCAAAUAGUAUCCGUGGCUUCCAACCACAAGGUCUUGGUUAAAGUCCAAGGGAAGAUA
rnacentral:tRNA from 1 species